UACGGGGGGGCAAGCGUUGUUCGGAAUUACUGGGCGUAAAGGGCUCGUAGGCGGCCAACUAAGUCAGACGUGAAAUCCCUCGGCUUAACCGGGGAACUGCGUCUGAUACUGGAUGGCUAGAGAUUGGGAGAGGGAUGCGGAAUUCCAGGUGUAGCGGUGAAAUGCGUAGAUAUCUGGAGGAACACCGGUGGCGAAGGCGGCAUCCUGGACCAACACUGACGCUGAGGAGCGAAAGCCAGGGGAGCAACGGG
rnacentral:rRNA from 1 species